rnacentral:lncRNA from 11 species
CUUCCUCUGACGCUGAGAGAAUGUGUCUUGCUCAAGGUUUCCAUCACUGAACAGGGAUAUGAACCCUAGUCUCCAGAGCUGUAAUCCAGUGCUCAAGGCAUUACACUACACUGGCUCUCUCAGAUGUUUUGGACUCCUGAAGACUCAACCGGAAAGACCAACUAUCAGGCCAACUGUCAGGUACUGUAGUCCCAAAUACAAUAAAAUCCCCUCAUUCAU